UGAAGCUGAGUUUCUUCAUUUCAUUUUCAUCUAACAAAAGUUUCAAUUAAUGAAAAGACACCUCCAUUAUAAAAUACAAAUUAAUUUGCAGGUGUGCCAGCCUGACGGGACUUUGUCUUUUGGAUGACUGAGUCUUGUAUUCAUCCUAGCAUAGAUUGUCAGGGUUAUGAUGGAAAAUAGGAGAUGGCACUAAUGACAAUAAUAAUAAUAAUAAAACAGGUGUGACUGGCUGUGUGUCCCGACCGCCCACUUCUUGCCAUGAGAUGUAAAGUUGAAGCCUCACCGGUUGUUUUUGCCGACUAAUGUCAGCCACACUGACCUUUGCCUGGCGCAGCAGUCGCACCACGCUGAUGCCCGUGGAUGCCAGCUCUCUGCUGGGCAUGCUCUGAAGGUAGGCACACACACACACCUCACACAGGUGCUGCAGGCGCUUCACCUGGUACAUCUCUGCACACACCAGCACGGCCAUGGCCUGCAACACACUGGCUGUGCACGCACGCACGCACGCACGCACGCACGCACGCACGCACGCACGCACGCACGCACGCACGCACGCACGCACACACACACACACACACACACAGUGUAAGAUGCGAGGUGAGGAAAGAGGUCCACCAUGUUGAGGUCCAGCAGGCUCAACACGUCACUAAAAGUUCUCUAAAAAUGUCUCCCAGCACACAAACACUUUUUAUUCCACUUCCCUUUGAAUAGUCACAGCUGCUGCCAAGAGUAGACCGCCACAAUAAAGGUCUAAUAUCACACACUCUUUACAUUAAUACAUUUGUUUAUUGACAAAUUAAACACAAAUAUAUCAAACCCCCCACAAAUUAAAGUACUAUAUACACACACACAUAUAUACUGUAUAUGUAUAUAUAUAUAUAUAUAUAUAUAUAUAUAUAUUCAGGGUUCCCUACACAUUCAUUUAUUUGUGGCGGCCUGCUACGAAAGAAUUACAGCCACCACAAACAGAUUUUUCGGCUUUUGACUCACUCAACCGCUCAUAAAAGCAAUGGGACUCUGUCUGUGAAUGCAGCUUGUAGUUACAACUCCGGUGCAGUAGGUGGCGGUAGCCUACUAUGCAUUGUAACUCCGCCAAUUACACUUAAUUCACCUGGUGGGUCAAAAGAAGAAGAAAACAACAACGAUGACGACGGCGAAGUAAAGGAAUAACGGACCGACCGGAUCAAAAUACGAGGGACCGGGGCGGACACAAGCAGUAACAGUCACCUGUUACCAUAGCAACGAGCUAACAUGUGCAGGUCAUCCAGCCUUGCCUAAGUGGCCUGGAAACAACCUUCACCUGGGGUUCCAUGACCUGGACAUACUUGGGGCUUUCAGUGUCUUUGGACCUAAAUCGGCUGCUCUGCAAGAUGACUCUGCUAACAUCGACAAUCUGAGGAUUCUUGCCAGAAAAUUCUGCCCUGAGCAACAGAAUGAGGUCCUGCAGGAGUGGACUUCAUUUAAGAACCAUGAGAUUACUGGGGCAUUCAAGGACAAGAACCAGGCUGACAUCCUUGCUCUGCUGGCAAGUGAGUUGGAGGAGUGGGAUCAUGUCUACUCUGGUCUCAGCUUCCUAGCAGGCAUGGCCUUGGUGAUCCCUGUUUCAAGUGUUAAUUGUCAACGGGAUUUUUCUACUCUGAAAAGGGUGAAAACAGACCUGAGGAAUCAUCUGCAAGGAGAACACCUGGAUGCCUGCCUGAGAAUCUCCAUCAACGGACCUGACCACAAGGACUUUCCUUACGCUAUUUUUUUCAGAAGCCCUGAACAAUUAAUUGUCCUAAAAAAGGGAGCAAAGUGUGCAGGCAGUAAGAAACACUUGGUUGAGUGGAGGCAGUAAAACUGAUGGCAGUCUAAACUUCAAGAUUCUUGGAGUGGGCUUUAAGAGACAUUUUAGCUUUUAUAUUUUAUAAGAUUAUAUAUUUUUUGUAAGAACCACAAUUAAUAAAUAUAUUUCAGUGAAUAACUAAUUGUUCAAAUCUGUAUAUAAAUAUGUACAUAAACUAUAUUCCAACUCUGUGUUCUUCUUGGUCAUCGCCGCCGAUACAAAUAAAAAUGUUCAUUCCAGCAGAUGAAAAAGACGAGUUAUUUUCCAGGGAAAAGUGUAGUUUGCAUGCAGUUCACAUACCCGGACAGCAGGAGUCAGUGUAGAGAUACUCCAGGAAGGACAGGAAGGUGUCUGAGGAGACGCCAUGGAUGGGAACAACUCGACUGCGGGCCUCGG